AAGGAUUUAAGUUAAACACCCAAACUAAUAGCCUUCAAAGCUGUAAAUAGAAGAUUUCUAAGCCUUG
rnacentral:tRNA from 1 species